rnacentral:scRNA from 1 species
UCCGGUCGCGAGACUGGACGGUAACUGAAAGACCUUGGUUCGGACUUUCAGAUUAUCUCCUCAUCAGGCUAAUCACGGUUUUUGACCCGGCUCUUUGCCGGGUCUUUUUUUG